rnacentral:rRNA from 1 species
GACGAACGCUGGCGGCGUGCUUAACACAUGCAAGUCGAACGGAAAGGCCUGCUUUCCCUUGUGGAUUGCGGGUCCUCGAGUGGCGAACUGGUGCGUAACACGUGAGUGAUCUGCCCCCAACUUGGGUAUAAGCCUGGGAAACUGGGUCUAAUUCCCGAUAGGACUGCAGGGUUGUGCCUGUGGUGGCAAACGUUCUUCUAGUUGUUGGUGAUGAGCUCGCGGCCUAUCAGCUUGUUGGUGGGGUAAUGGCCUACCAAGGCGGCGACGGGUAGCCGGCCUGGGAGGGUGGACGGCCACAUUGGGACUGAGAUCCGGCCCAGACUCCUACGGGCGGCAGCAGGGGGGAAUAGUGCACAAUGGGCGGAAGCCUGAUGCAGCGACGCCGCGUGGGGGAUGACGGCCUUCGGGUUGUAAACUCCUUUCGACCGCGAGGAAGCCACCUGGUUGGAAGGGUGGUGACGGUAGUGGUAGAAGAAGCACCGGCUAACUACGUG